rnacentral:rRNA from 1 species
UACGUAGGGUGCGAGCGUUAAUCGGAAUUACUGGGCGUAAAGCGUGCGCAGGCGGUUUUGUAAGCCAGAUGUGAAAGCCCCGGGCUUAACCUGGGAAUGGCAUUUGGGACUGCAAGGCUUGAGUGCGGCAGAGGAGACUGGAAUUCCUGGUGUAGCGGUGAAAUGCGCAGAUAUCAGGAGGAACACCGAUGGCGAAGGCAGGUCUCUGGGCAUUAACUGACGCUGAGAAGCGAAAGCGUGGGGAGCGAACAGGA